rnacentral:misc_RNA from 1 species
GAUGAAGAACGUAGCGAAAUGCGAUAAGUAAUGUGAAUUGCAGAAUUCAGUGAAUCAUCGAAUCUUUGAACGCACAUUGCGCCCGCCAGUAUUCUGGCGGGCAUGCCUGUUCGAGCGUCAUUACAACCCUCAGGCCCCCGGGCCUGGCGUUGGGGAUCGGCGGAAGCCCCUGCGGGCACAACGCCGUCCCCCAAAUACAGUGGCGGUCCCGCCGCAGCUUCCAUUGCGUAGUAGCUAACACCUCGCAACUGGAGAGCGGCGCGGCCACGCCGUAAAACACCCAACUUCUGAAUGUUGACCUCGAAUCAGGUAGGAAUACCCGCUGAACUUAAGCAUAUCAAUAAGCGGAGGA